rnacentral:rRNA from 1 species
AGUGAACGCUGGCGGUAGGCCUAACACAUGCAAGUCGAACGGCAGCACAGGAGAGCUUGCUCUCUGGGUGGCGAGUGGCGGACGGGUGAGGAGUACAUCGGAAUCUACUCUGUCGUGGGGGAUAACGUAGGGAAACUUACGCUAAUACCGCAUACGACCUACGGGUGAAAGCAGGGGAUCUUCGGACCUUGCGCGAUUGAAUGAGCCGAUGUCGGAUUAGCUAGUUGGCGGGGUAAAGGCCCACCAAGGCGACGAUCCGUAGCUGGUCUGAACGGAUGAUCAGCCACACUGGAACUGAGACACGGUCCAGACUCCUACGGGAGGAAGCAGGGGGGAAUAUUGGACAAUGGGCGAAAGCCUGAUCCAGCCAUACCGCGUGGGUGAAGAAGGCCUUCGGGUUGUAAAGCCCUUUUGUUGGGAAAGAAGUCCAGCUGGCUAAUACCCGGUUGGGAUGACGGUACCCAAAGAAUAAGCACCGGCUAACUUCGUGCCAGCAGCCGCCGUAA